CAGUAGCCACGGGAAUACGAAGGGUGCAAGCGUUACUCGGAAUUACUGGGCGUAAAGCGUGCGUAGGUGGUGGUUUAAGUCUGCUGUGAAAGCCCUGGGCUCAACCUGGGAAUUGCAGUGGAUACUGGGCGACUAGAGUAAGGUAGAGGAUAGUGGAAUUUCCGGUGUAGCAGUGAAAUGCGUAGAGAUCGGAAGGAACAUCUGUGGCGAAGGCGACUAUCUGGGCCAUUACUGACACUGAGGCACGAAAGCGUGGGGAGCAAACAGGAUUAGAUACCCGGGUAGUCCCUGUCUCUUAUAC
rnacentral:rRNA from 1 species